CCUACGGGGGGCAGCAGUGGGGAAUAUUGGACAAUGGGGGGAACCCUGAUCCAGCCAUGCCGCGUGUGUGAAGAAGGCCCUCGGGUUGUAAAGCACUUUCAGUGAGGAAGAACGCCUGGUGGUUAAUACCCAUCAGGAAAGACAUCACUCACAGAAGAAGCACCGGCUAACUCCGUGCCAGCAGCCGCGGUAAUACGGAGGGUGCGAGCGUUAAUCGGAAUUACUGGGCGUAAAGCGCGCGUAGGUGGCUUGAUAAGCCGGUUGUGAAAGCCCCGGGCUCAACCUGGGAACGGCAUCCGGAACUGUCAAGCUAGAGUGCAGGAGAGGAAGGUAGAAUUCCCGGUGUAGCGGUGAAAUGCGUAGAGAUCGGGAGGAAUACCAGUGGCGAAGGCGGCCUUCGGGACUGACACUGACACUGAGGUGCGAAAGCGUGGGUAGCAAACAGGAUUAGAUACCCUUGUAGUC
rnacentral:rRNA from 1 species